GAGGGGGUCGCGGCCGAUUAGCUAGUUGGCGGGGUAACGGCCCACCAAGGCGAUGAUCAGUAGCCGGCCUGAGAGGGCGCACGGCCACACUGGAACUGAAACACGGUCCUGACUCCUACGGGAGGCAGCAGUGGGGAAUUUUGCACAAUGGGGGAAACCCUGAUGCAGCAACGCCGCGUGGAGGAUGAAGUCCCUUGGGACGUAAACUCCUUUCGACCGGGACGAUAAUGACGGUACCGGUGGAAGAAGCCCCGGCUAACUCCGUGCCAGCAGCCGCGGUAAUACGGGGGGGGCAAGCGUUGUUCGGAAUUAUUGGGCGUAAAGGGCGCGUAGGCAGUGCGGUAAGUCUUCUGUGAAACCCCUGGGCUCAACCCAGGGCCUGCAGGAGAAACUGCCGUGCUGGAGUGUGGGAGAGGUGCGUGGAAUUCCCGGUGUAGCGGUGAAAUGCGUAGAUAUCGGGAGG
rnacentral:rRNA from 1 species